AUUCCCCGCCACAAAACCCUAACCCGAAUAAAAAUAUCUUCCUCGUCUUCUUGGUUUCUUCCUUUCCCUCUUUCGGCUGGAGCUCCGCGUGAGGAAGGAGACGAUGUCGCACUUCGGGAGAUCGGGGCCGCCGGACAUCUCCGACACCUACUCUCUCCUCGUCCUGAACAUCACCUUCCGGACGACUGCUGAUGAUCUGUUCCCGCUGUUCGAUAAGUACGGGAAGGUCGUGGAUAUCUUCAUCCCGAGGGACCGAAGGACCGGCGAGUCACGUGGCUUUGCAUUUGUUCGCUAUAAGUAUGCGGAUGAGGCACAAAAGGCAGUGGAGAGGCUUGAUGGAAGAGUCGUUGAUGGCCGGGAGAUAACAGUGCAGUUUGCAAAGUAUGGGCCUAAUGCAGAGAGAAUUCAGAAGGGCAGGGUCGUUGAAACGGUUCCUAGGUCAAGGCACAGAUCAAGAAGUCGCAGCCCUCGGAGAAGUAACUUUUCUAGGUACCGAGAUGACUACAGAGAAAGGGAUUCUCGAAGGAGGAGCCGCAGCAGAAGUCGGGACAGGUACCGCGAGAGGGACAGGGAUGGCCGUGGGAGGAGCAGGAGUCCAAGUGCAAGUCCUAAUUACUCGAAAGGUCGGGGCAGGGACCGAUAUGAUGACGAGCGUAGGAGCCGAAGUCGAUCAGUUGACAGUGCCUCUCCUCGGCGGAGCCGGAGCCCCCGCAGGAGCCGCUCUCCUACUAGGAGCCCUCGUGAAGAUGGGAGUCCCGAUAGGCGCAGUCAUGAUAGACGAUCUCCAACACAAAGUGCUUCCCCCAGAGGUCGACCUGCCGAUUCUCGAAGUCAUUCUCCUCGAAAUUCGGGCGUCGAUGAAUGAAUGUGGAUGGAGGACUGCAGUGUGUGAAGCAUGCUGGCGUGCUUAUCUCCUUUUGUGGCUUUUGAGUACUGGAUCAUGAUCAAUGGCUGUCCCUUAUAAAUUUUAAUGCUACUUUUGUAAUGUUCGGGGUGGAGAGAUGGGCUGCUGAUAUGUUGAUAGUAGCUGUUGGUGCUUUUUGUAAAUCGUUGAUGGAUGGUCGUGAUUUGGAUGAUGCUUGCAUCAGUGUGCUGGGUGUAGCGGUAGAUAGCUCGGGGUGGAACAAUAACUAGUAUUUCAAAAAUGACCUGAUUGGUAAGAUCUUUUCCCUUAUAUAUAACCAUUUCUAGUAAAUCUCCUAUGUUUUGGGUUCUAAUUUUCAACUUGGCUGUCGUCACUGCGGCUGCUGCUGAUCGUCCCACUAAUAAGAACCUAAAAGCCUGGGUCUUUUGCUGUGAUGGUUGGAGAGGUGGGUCCAAGUGUUGACGUGCUUGACCAGUAGCUGAUGCUGCAUGUGCAAGCGGAGCUUGGAUCUGAAAAUAUUGAUGAGGAUUCAAAAUGCAAAACCUCUUCUGCUGAUCCCAUUGAAGGGGACUACUGAGAUAGUAGAAUCAGUACGUGGUUGUAGCACUUGAAGUUUGUAGCUGGUUUCCAAUUCUCAGAUUCGUGUUUACGCAGAUUUAAGUUUACUCCCUUCCGGAACUCCUUCCAUGUUCGUAGGAAGCAUUUGCUUCUUCUUCUGGGUGCUGCUUUUUCUGUUGUUGAUUACUUCACAGGUGGAUAUGUUUGCUUCUAAAGCCCUCCAUUAUCCUUGAGUUGAGUUCAUGCUGCUAGAACACACCAAUAGCUCAGUGUUCUGUUAAUUACUUGUGGAGACUUUUUGGGUAUGGAUCUAUUGGCCGUUGUCUCUUUUAUGAAUGCCUAUUGGCAGUUGGCUCAUUUCACCAAGUGUCGUUGAGAAUCAAUGGAGAGGUCCAUCUAUAGGGACGUGGGAAUAGCUUCGUGUGGUCAUUCAUUUUGGAUUUUUGAGCCGUAAUGAGUUGAGGGGUUUGCCUGUACCAGGUUAUUAUUGGGGUCCAAAUCAGUAAAUAAUGAAGUCUGUAUCAGUGAUCUUUUUUGCUCAAAGUAAUCAGAAGAUCACCAUAGUUUUGCA